rnacentral:rRNA from 1 species
CCUAAGGUAGCGAAAUUCCUUGUCGGGUAAGUUCCGACCUGCACGAAUGGCGUAAUGAUGGCCAGGCUGUCUCCACCCGAGACUCAGUGAAAUUGAACUCGCUGUGAAGAUGCAGUGUACCCGCGGCAAGACGGAAAGACCCCGUGAACCUUUACUAUAGCUUGACACUGAACAUUGAGCCUUGAUGUGUAGGAUAGGUGGGAGGCUUUGAAGUGUGGACGCCAGUCUGCAUGGAGCCGACCUUGAAAUACCACCCUUUAAUGUUUGAUGUUCUAACGUUGGCCCCUGACCGGGGUUGCGGACAGUGUCUGGUGGGUAGUUUGACUGGGGCGGUCUCCUCCCAAAGCGUAACGGAGGAGCACGAAGGUUAGCUAAUCCUGGUCGGACAUCAGGAGGUUAGUGCAAUGGCAUAAGCCAGCUUGACUGCGAGCGUGACGGCGCGAGCAGGUGCGAAAGCAGGUCAUAGUGAUCCGGUGGUUCUGAAUGGAAGGGCCAUCGCUCAACGGAUAAAAGGUACUCCGGGGAUAACAGGCUGAUACCGCCCAAGAGUUCAUAUCGACGGCGGUGUUUGGCACCUCGAUGUCGGCUCAUCACAUCCUGGGGCUGAAGUAGGUCCCAAGGGUAUGGCUGUUCGCCAUUUAAAGUGGUACGCGAGCUGGGUUUAGAACGUCGUGAGACAGUUCGGUCCCUAUCUGCCGUGGGCGCUGGAGAAUUGAGGGGGGCUGCUCCUAGUACGAGAGGACCGGAGUGGACGCAUCACUGGUGUUCGGGUUGUCAUGCCAAUGGCACUGCCCGGUAGCUAAAUGCGGAAGAGAUAAGUGCUGAAAGCAUCUAAGCACGAAACUUGCCCCGAGAUGAGUUCUCCCUGAGACUUUAAGUCUCCUGAAGGAACGUUAAAGACGAUGACGUUGAUAGGCCGGGUGUGUAAGCGCAGCGAUGCGUUGAGCUAACCGGUACUAAUGAACCGUGAGGCUUAACCUU